AAGUAUAACCAAACCAGAUGGUCAUCCCACUGAGUCUGGUCUGCUUCAGGUUUCUUCCAAUAAUCAAAAACACCUGAGGGAGCUUCUAUUU